rnacentral:tRNA from 1 species
GGUCCCAUAACUCAGUUGGUUAGAGUGUCGUACUAAUAUUAUAGUUGCAUUGUAAUGUUGGAAAUGCGAAAGUCGUGAGUUCAAGCCUCACUGGGACCA